GCAAUCCUGUGUGCUGUGCUACAGACGCGUGUGGAGGUCAACCCAAAAUGGGCACAGUCUCACCACAGAAGAGUGAAAGAGGAUCCUGGCAGGGAGACGGUAGUGUCCUGCAGAAUGGUGAUGGGCCAAUCUUACAAGAGACCACAGAAAACUGAUAUAGUGAACUAUAGAAACAACAGUGCCUGCUGCAGUAUAACGAGGACACCCUGAGCAGAGAGCUCCAAUAGACCCAGGUCCAGUGUCUUGGCAGGGUGAAAUGGCACUGAUAUGGUGUCCUGCAGGAUGCUGUGUCCUGCAAUCCUGUGUGCUGUGCUACAGACGCGUGUGGAGGUCAACCCAAAAUGGGCACAGUCUCACCACAGAAGAGUGAAAGAGGCUCCCAGAAGUGAGACUGAGUGCCUGUUGCAGUAUGACGAGGACGCAGUGACCAGAGACCUUCAGUAGACCCUGCUGGCAUGAUUGGCG